UCUCUCUCUCUCUCUCUCUCUCUCUCUCUGCGCGCUAUAUUCAACUCCUUUUUCUCUUUAGCUUCCUCCAAGAUAUUUUCUUAUAUAAUCACAGUCCUGCAACAGAUUUACAUUCGCAACCGUCACGAUCAGGUAUUUUCCCCUAGGUCAACCCUCUUAAACAAGACUCCAACCAAAUCUUAACCAGCAUAGCUAAUAACAAACAACUAAGAUGCUUUUUUUGAUCCAAUUAGAAAAAAUGCCCAAGCUGAACAGGUCAUGGAAGAAAAUAAAAAGGAGACAGUAACCGAGUCUUUUCUAUUCUGAACUCCUUUCUAUUCGUUUAAAUAUUUGAGGCAUUUAAUAUGAAAGUACAUCUAGGUUAAAUUCUUGUUCACCAUGCUCAAAGUUGUAAAAAAGUUAACCUGUAGUACAAUGGUUAAGCAUGUCAAUUUGAAUUAUGAAUAGUUUUUCAGACCCGAAUAACCGUGCAAGUCCCUGCUAAACAUUGAGGCACAGAAAAUUGGAUAAAUGCAUUUUCAGGCCAAGCAAUUGAAUCAUGAACGAUGCUCUCCAUAAAAACAUCCAUAAAUAUCAUAAAGCAAUUAGCUUAGGAUAAUUACUUUUAUCCUCCAAAUUCCACAAAAAGACCUUUUCUACAUGAUUUCUAAUUGUCUGUGUUUCUGUCAUUCAUUAUAUAGGCAAGACAUGAAUUCCUAUCAGUGCAAUAUGCCAUAAAAGGAUAUGUUAAUAUGCAUUUGUAAUAAAUCUAUGGUGUGCACCAAUUUGGCUAUAUUUAUGUUAGUCAAUAUAGAUCAUAGCAGGGUGUUAUGUUGGAAGGUUGAAGUGAACAAUUGCCAAUGAUGAUGUAAACCAUCACAAUGCAAGGCAUCAUUAUUGCAUGGAAGAGAUGAGGCUCAGAGUCUCAUUAGUCAAAAAUAAUACUCCAACAAAAGUUGAGGUUAGACCAUAUCCUAGCGUACUCUUCACAAGCUUGGCAUGGUCAAACCUGAGUGAGCUUCUUAAAGAAUAUGUCAGAAGCACCAGAUUCAUGUCUGUUAAGAUAAUAUAGUUGGAUGUGUUUGUUGUAAAAAAAAUAUAUAUAUAAUGGAAGAUUUGAAGAGAUGAAUGAGUCAAAUUAAAAGACAUUACUCAGUUUUGAUCCCAGCACUCCAGGGUCCUGGGAGGGGCGGACUGGGGACAACCUAAUAUUUGGCCUUUUUGGGUAUAUAGUAGCUGCUUCAGAACUUGAACCCCUGCCAUUGGACUUGCCAACCCAAGCCUUUUAUGCAGGAGAUAAACCUACACAUGCUAUUGAGAAGAUGCUUAUGGACAUUCAGAAAGAAUUAAUCGUCAUCUAAUUGUGCACCUCCUCCCAGUCACAGGCAAC
rnacentral:lncRNA from 1 species